GGCUUCCGUAGGUGACCUGCGGAAGGAUCAUUA
rnacentral:rRNA from 1 species